UACCCCGAGGUCCGGAAUANCCACGGGAAACUGUGGGUAAUGNCGGAUAAUAUCCUCGGAUCAAAGGUGUGAUUCCGCCUUGGGAGCGGACUGCGUUGUACUANCUAGUUGGUAGGGUAAUGGCCUACCNAGGCAAUGAUGCAUANCGGGCGNGAGAGCGUGGCCCGUCUCACUGGGACUGANACACUGGCGAGACACCUACGGGUGGCUGCAGUCGAGGAUCUUCGGCAAUGGGGGCAACCCUGACCGAGCGAUGCCGCGUGCGCGAUGAAGGCCUUCGGGUUGUAAAGCGCGAAAGAGGGGAGAAAAGCCCGAAAGGGUUUGAUCUAUCCUCNNUNAGCUCGGGCUAAGUUCGUGCCANCANCCGCGGUAANACNAACCGAGCGAACGUUGUUCGGAAUCACUGGGCUUAAAGGGCGCGUANGCGGGCUGCCAAGUCUGGGGUGAAAUCCCGCGGCUCAACCGCGGAACUGCCUCANAUACUGGCGGCCUCGAGGGAGAUAGGGGCGAGCGGAACUAAUGGUGGANCGGUGAAAUGCGUUGAUAUCAUUANNAACUCCNGUGGCGAA
rnacentral:rRNA from 1 species